UGGGGAAUUUUGGACAAUGGGCGAAAGCCUGAUCCAGCAAUGCCGCGUGUGUGAAGAAGGCCUUCGGGUUGUAAAGCACUUUUGUCCGGAAAGAAAUCCUUGGCUCUAAUACAGUCGGGGGAUGACGGUACCGGAAGAAUAAGCACCGGCUAACUACGUGCCAGCAGCCGCGGUAAUACGUAGGGUGCAAGCGUUAAUCGGAAUUACUGGGCGUAAAGCGUGCGCAGGCGGUUUGCUAAGACCGAUGUGAAAUCCCCGGGCUCAACCUGGGAACUGCAUUGGUGACUGGCAGGCUAGAGUAUGGCAGAGGGGGGUAGAAUUCCACGUGUAGCAGUGAAAUGCGUAGAGAUGUGGAGGAAUACCGAUGGCGAAGGCAGCCCCCUGGGCCAAUACUGACGCUCAUGCACGAAAGCGUGGGGAGCAAACAGGAUUAGAUACCCUGGUAGUCCACACCCUAAACGAUGUCAACUAGUUGUUGGGGAUUCAUUUCCUUAGUAACGUAGCUAACGCGUGAAGUUGACCGCCUGGGGAGUACGGUCGCAAGAUUAAAACUCAAAUGAAUUGACGGGGUCAUAGCUGUUUCCU
rnacentral:rRNA from 1 species